UUCAUGGUGAGCUGCUACUACGAGGCCUCCUCGCCUCACGACGGCCGCGUACGGACGCCCCGCGUCGGCUGGGCCGGGCUGCUCCGCGCGUGCUGUAGUAUGUGUAGAUUGACGCGGCGUGCGUGCGUGUGCGGUUCGAAAAAUUCGGGAUUGGAUGGGAUUCGGCGAUGAAAUUUCCCUGCUCGUGUUGGGAUUGGGAUUUCAAACAGGGUAGCCAGAUUACCUUUUUUCCGAACGCACACAACAUGUUUGAUUGGUUGCGCCUGAGCUCGUCUGGGAUUAGCACUCGCUAAUCCCCGCGGGUGGAUUUGGUUAAAGUUAGCUUCUUCAGCUGCGAGUAUUACUAUGCUAGUUCAUCCCUUGAUUAUUACCCAUCCUUGUUAUCUCUGAACUUGGCUGAAUUUUGUUGGAGCAUAUUACUGCCAUGUUCAGCUACCUAGUGGUCCAAUAUAAGAACAGAACCAAGGCUUGAGGACAGGGGCCAUAGGGUGGGCACAACAUCAUUGUGGAAGUCUGCAGAAUAUUGAUCUCUUUCUUUCAAACACACCACAAUUCUUUACAAUAGUUUUGAACUGGCUGGGUAGCAGUGAAAGCCAGGACGCACUAUCUGAAGUUCUGGCUGGCAUCACGUCUCCCCUUGACACUGAGUUCUUUUGCAGAAGUGCUCAUUCUGCAGCUAUGUAUGCUGUCACCUCCAUGGUACGUGCACAGCAAACUAUUCUAUUUUCCUAAAUUGAAUUGUUAAUGGAGCUGAACAAAUACUUUUAUCAUUUAAUUCUCAUGUUAAGGUAAUCCUGAAAUGAGAAAAAGCAAUGAGCUAUUUGUAUUGGUUGACGUUCAUGACCUUUUAUAAGUUGUGUUGCUAAUUAUUUACUGUUCCUUGACUGUUACUGGAGGCCAAGUUGGUAUUGUUCUAAGACUGAAGCAAGGUUCUUAUUUUUGUGGAACAAAACGGAUCAUGGUUAAAUGGCGUUGUCACCUGGUUCAAAUUGCCUAGGUUAUAUUGACAAGGCAUUUUGCUUCUAUUUCUAAAGAAGUGGAUAGAAGGUUUAAACUAUGAUACAUCAUAUCUGAGUUGGUUCGUACUUGGAGUUGGAGAGAUAUUUGCAAGUUUUUGAAUGGUCCUAUCUGUGGCAUAUUUUUUCCUGCCUACUUCACUUAUAUCAAGAUAUUUAGAAGACUCGACAGAAGAAUUUCAGCAAGAAUCAAUAGCUUGUGUGAUCCUUAUGUCGCUGAGUUCUUUUUAUAAACGUUCCAUUGAUUGAACGGUUGAAGAAGUAUCAUAUAUCUGCUAUGCUGAUGACCGCUACGUCUGCUUUGCUCGAGACGAGGACAAGUGGGUCAUAUAUGGCUUCGAGACUGUCGAGUUAAGUUACUCGUGACUCCUGGGUGUUGAUCAAGGCUCUGCAUUCUUUCUUGUAGCCAUUUUAUUCUUAACUUGCUGAUUUGUUGGUGUGAACUCCCUCCAUGCAGAGAGAAGAUAGUUGGGAGCAUUUGCUAGAAAGCUGGUGGCGUGGCACGAGGCCGACAUUGACCGGGGCCUGCUUGAGCCGAGGGCUAGGGCGAGGGACGUGAUGGCGUCACAACUCAAGGCGGCGGCUGUCAUCGGUCAAGUGUGGCUCGUCGAGGCUGCUCGUUGUAUUUCGUUGCAGCUGCAGGCCGCGAGAUCAGGCCAGGAAGGCGCCAUGCAUUGACGAGUGAGCCAAUUUUUGGAUCGGACCAUAACAACGUGUCUCAGUCUCUGACUUCUAGAAGUAGUGGUAAAGUUUUGAAUUUGCAUGGCAAGAACCACUUAUGUAGGUAGCUGACACGCUCAACAUUGUGUUUACUCUCUUACUUAUGUAAAAGAUAUGAAUUAUACACGAGUUGCCUUUACAAUGAGGAAUUGUGAUAGUAGAUA